rnacentral:rRNA from 1 species
UACAGAGGCCCCAAGCGUUACUGAGAAUCACUGGGUUUAAAGGGUGCGUAGGUGGCGCGUUAAGUCCGUUGUGAAAUCCCUUGGCUCAACCAAGGAACUGCUUCGGAUACUGGCGUGCUUGAGGCUAGUAGAGGUCACUGGAACUGACGGUGGAGCGGUGAAAUGCGUAGAUAUCGUCAGGAACGCCAAUGGUGAAGACAGGUGACUGGGCUAGUUCUGACACUGAGGCACGAAAGCGUGGGGAGCAAACAGG